rnacentral:lncRNA from 1 species
GAAACAGACGUGCUUCAGAUCCAUGUAUGAUACCGUGAAAGGAGGCGAUUUGUUUGCAAAAAGAGUCUGUUUUGAGCGGUAGGAAAACAGAUUUGUUCAGGGUUGCCUUGGUUGCGGGCCAAAGAUUAGUUAAAAAUGGUUCAAUUUUUUACAAUUAGGUUCAAGUGUCUAGAUAAUCACGCUCAAGUGGCAGGCAAUCAUCCAAAAAUAGCUUUCUGGAAAGUUUUGGAGAAACAGCAGGAAACACCUUGUGUGCAUCUCUACCCAUCAGAUCAACUGGGAAUAAUGAAGGAUGAUAGUUCUCCACGCCUUAACUGCCCUCUUAACCUAACUGGACAAUCAAUCGAAAAGAGGUCAGAGACCAAACAGGAAGGGAAGCAGAAGAACUGAAAACUCCCAAGCCAAUCACCAAAAUCAUUUAUUUGGAAACUCCUGUUUCACAUGCCCAAUUAAGCCACACAGCCACUAAUACUAGUCAGCUCUGUGGGACAUUCCACUUCAGUGAAGACCACGUCAGGAUUAUUGACUCCCUCAAA